ensembl:lncRNA
CAGGUGAGCUGGCACUGUGCCCAUCGUGCCAACCCCGGCUCAGUCCCUGCAGUUCAGACACCCUCGCUCCCCCAUUCCCAUUUCAGUGGGUCCGGAUGCCUGGAUCCUGCCAGGUUCACAGGGUGGGGACAUCCCCAGGAAAGCUCCAGGAAAGCUCCACGGGGAGUUUCUCCCUUCUCGGCUCACCGGGAACGUCUCAUUUUGUACAACGUGCUACAGAGAGCCUCACGGCAAAUCCAGAGGUGCUGCCCCCUCAGAUCCGCAUUUUGGGAUGUAGGAAAGCCCCGAGGUUUGAGCUGGGACAUUGAAAGGGUGAGCAAUUUGCCUUUAAAGAGAGUUUUUGUAAGGGGAGUGGCACAGGGGUCGGGGGCAGGGUGUCCCAGCUGCUCCCCCCCAAAGGGACAAGCGCAGCCGGGCGAGGCUUUGCGGGAUCGCGGGGGCCGCGGCUACUCACGGCUCGGGCAUCGCGGCGUGUGCUGCUCCCUGCCGAAGAAAGGGGAAAGCUGGAGCGGAGCGCCGGGGCACCCGGGCCGGCCAGCGCCGGGGAGGGCUCCGCGCCCGGGGCACGGACGGGGCGCGGCUCCUGCUCCCGGCGCCCUGCCCGAGCUCCGAGCUGCUCCCCGCCCGCCCCAGCUCGGGAGGCUGGAAACCUCAGCAGAAAUGGGGGCGCCUCGGCGGUUCCCCCGUUGUGUCGGCUCAGGGAGGCCUGUUCUGCAGCUCCCGUGGGCAACAGCGGGGAAGGGAGAGCCAAAACCCACCCGGGGAGUGCCAGAGCAAAGGGCAGCACCUCUGCUCUGGAGCCAGGCUGAGGGCUGGGGGUGUCCAGGCUGGAGAAGAGAAGGAUCCAGGGACACCUGAGAGCCCCUUCCAGCACCUAAAGGGGCUCCAAGAGAGCGGGAGAGGGACUGGGGAUGAGGGAUGGGAGGGACAGGCCUCCCCCCCCCCCCCCCCCCCCCCCCCCCCCCCCCCCCCCCCCCCCCCCCCCCCCCCCCCCCCCCCCCCCCCCCCCCCCCCCCCCCCCCCCCCCCCCCCCCCCCAGAGGGCAGGGAUGGGUGGGAUAUUGGGAAGGCAUUCUUGGGUGUGAGGGCCUGGCACAGGUGCCCAGAGCAGCUGUGGCUGCCCCAAAUCUGGAAGUGUCCAAGGCAGGGUGGACAGGGCUUGAAACAGCCUGGGGUAGUGGGAGGUGUCCCUGCCCAUGGCAGGAGCAGGACUGGAUGGCUUUAAGGUCUCUCCCAACCCAAAUGAUUCUGGGGUUCUCUAAGUCAGUGCCCACAGCUGAGCAGGUUCCUUCAGCAGCCACAUUCCAGGUGCAACACUCAGGGUUUCCUAUUUAGCGUUUGCCUGGUGAUCCCAAGCCCUGGCAGCAGCUCCAGCCCACGCUGCUCCUCUAACCCUGCUCUGGCCCCGCUGAUCCCUCCUGUGCUGAGCAGCUGGGGCACCCUGUGAGCCCAAGCAGCGGAAAAACGGGGGAGGAAAUACCAAUCCCUAUCCCUUUAAAUUUUUUUAAUUUUUUUUUUCCCCUCAAACAGCAUUUUCCAGGAGUGAAAUGGACAAGCUGUGAUUUUUUGCCUUGAUCCUUUUGCAUCCUCCCAAAUUUUGAAAUUUGGAAACUGUUUUAGACCCCAAAGAUUCAUGCUGGGGGAAAUGAAAAGCUGGUUCCAAACAGCUGCUCCCAGAUUUGUGGGGAGCCUGUGCCAAGCAAAUCUCAGGGCACCUCCUGACUCUGUCCCCUUGUCCCUAUUCCCUUCCCAUGCCCCUACAGCUCAUCCAGAGACAUGUCCUGAAUAAAUGGAAUUUGGGGAGGGGGAAUGUAAUAAAAUCCCAGCAGGAAUCAUCACCCCCAGAGCCUCCCAGUCCAGAUGCCUGGAUUUACAAGGAAAAAUCCAAAGGACAGAAAUUUCUUUGUCCUCAAACCACAUCAGACAGAUCCUGUUUCCUGCCUUUGUGGAGGUUUUUGGUGCUGUGAGAAACAUCCCAGAGGACACCAAGCAGCACUGGUGCCUUGAGCAGGCUGGGUCCCAGCUGCUGGCCCCCAGUUUAUUUUGGGGGUGGCAGAGGAGCCUUUUUCUCCCUGGAGCUGAGGACUAGGCACAGCUUCUCAGCAUUUCCAUUGUCCCCCUCUGGAGCAGAGCCCAGCAUUCCUUGGGGUGGAAUCCACACCACACCUCCAGCUCAUGACCUCUACCAAGGUCAGUCACAUUUUAGGGCCAAAUAGUCGUAAAUUGGCAUCCCAAACAACAGCAAGGACUUGGCUGUUGUGCCAGUGAGACAUCCCCAGCAAUCCCCAGUGCCAGGACUUCUGGACUCCAGCUGAAUCUCGAGCAUCCAUGAGAGACUUCACUCCCUGAUGGAGACAAGAGGAUCUGGACAAGCUAAUUUUGCACUAUUUGCACUGUCCCAGCUGUAAAAAGUUUAUAAAGAUUAUUGAACCACUGGAUCAUGUAAAUCCUUAAAGGAAAUAAUCCCAUAAACCCAAACACAGUGAAUCCUGACAUCUUUCCCCAUCCCAGGAGGCUGGAGACAAACCACAAGCACUCUCCCAGCUACCCCAACUCCACACUCUGUUCUCAUCCUGAACCUCCCACCAGUGAGCCAGGCUGGAACUCUUGGGCAAGUGCUCCCCAAACAGUCCUGUUUGCCACGUUGUGGAAAAAACCAGACAAAUAUCAGCUCCAAAGUCUUUGUCCCCAUUGCAGCUUCACCAAUCCUCUCUCCAAGAGCAGAGGAAAUGUCUGAUCCACCUCAGAGAGGGGGAGAAAUUCAGGCAAAUUCACAUGCUGGGAGUUCCUCUCUAUCAUAUGCAGGUGCCAGGUCUUGUGCCCGUGUCACCAGCAGCACACCCAGAGGGGAUCUGGGGCAGUGGCAGUGGCAUGGCUGUGGCAGGGGCAGUGGCAUGGCAGUGGCAGUGGCAUGGCAAUGGCAGUGGCAGUGGCACCCCCCCCCCCCCCCCCCCCCCCCCCCCCCCCCCCCCCCCCCCCCCCCCCCCCCCCC